GCCCAUGUGGUGUAGUGGUAACAUGGUCUUCAAUCGUCUUUGAAACGUUGUUGGUAGCUCCUCGUUCGAACCGGGGCAUGGGCC